CUGAGGCUUGGGUAGCCUAGGGUGUUUUUCUCUUGUGGUGAAUUGGGCUCAGUGUUCCCUACUAGGCUGCUUUUCCUUCAUGUUUUCUGCCCUCGCUGUGAAAUAGUUUUAGAGACUCUAUGAGCUAGUUACAUUGGUGGUGCCUUCUUUGGAAAAACCCUGGUGGCACUAUUUCACUGCGAAGCACUUUGGAAUUGACUCAAGUUCAGAAGACAGCAGGUGGAUUCUAAGCUCCCUUCCAAGCACUGGAGGAAAAAAAAAAAAGGCCUCAGAAGCCCAAGUGCACACAGGUCAGCCUGACGUUGAAGAAGGUUCUUAAGUAUUUGGAAGAUUGAAAAAUGGGCUGUGUGAAAAAGGUGCCUUAAUGUGAAUGCAGAUUUUGCCUUGUGGUCAAAAGCAAUAUGAAGAAAGUCUGUCAUCUUCCCUUCAGGUCUGGGUCUCAGCUGGGGACUGCUUCCUGAAUAGGUCCAGCAACCUGAAGAGAAUUGAACUUCCUCCCAAGCUCUAUAAACCAGAGUCUCAGCUAUCAGGGGUAAAAUCAGAAGUGUUCAGAAAGAUAUAAAACAAAGCCUGGAGUUCAGAAGAGGUGAAGAAGAAAAUAUAGACCAGAGUGACACACUGCCACAACACCAAACUAGCAGAAGCUGGUGCCUUGGAAAGCAAAGCACUAUUCAGAGACCAAAAGAAGUGCUGUUUCUGUCACAUCCGGGAGAUGGAUGCCUGAAGUAGUGUGCCCAUGAAGGGCAGAGACAGGCAGAAGAUGACCACAGUUAUCCAGAAAGCUCAUGUAAAAGCAAUUGUACCUCCUUUUUAAAGGAUGUAUUGACAUCUUUUAGCAAUACGAACUGUGAGGAAAGAAACAGAAAAGCAGUCAUUUUCUUCAAUACUGAACAAAGGAGAUGCCAUAGUACAAAAAACAGUGCUACAAUUCAUUUCAAACACUUGUAGUAUCUGUGUAUUAUUCACUGUCUAUAGGGCAUGCCAGCUUUCAUUAAAAACAAACAAAUAAUAAAUUCUAGCUUCUGCAGCUGCCAAGAUAAGCUAGAACAUGUGACCUCAGUGAGGCUGAGAGAUUCAUUACCUCACAGUUAGUGAGGUAAUUAAAAUUCCAUCCACUUCUACAAA